rnacentral:rRNA from 1 species
UGAGGAAUUUUCCGCAAUGGGCGAAAGCCUGACGGAGCAAUGCCGCGUGGAGGAUUACAGCCCAUGGGUUUUAAACUCCUUUUCUCGGAGAAGAAGCAGUGACGGUAUCCGAGGAAUAAGCAUCGGCAAACUCCGUGCCAGCAGCCGCGGUAAUACGGGGGAUGCAAGCGUUAUCCGGAAUGAUUGGGCGUAAAGCGUCUGUAGGUGGUAGUUGAAGUCUGCUGUUCAAGACCAGGGCUUAACCCUGGACCGGCAGUGGAAACUCAGCUGCUUGAGUGCGGUAGGGGCAGAGGGAAUUCCCGGUGUAGCGGUGAAAUGCGUAGAUAUCGGGAAGAACACCGAUGGCGAAGGCGCUCUGCUGGGCCUUUACACUGACACUGAGAGACGAAAGCUAGGGGAGCAAACGG